AGUUCUGCCCUACGUACCUAGGAGGAGGAGGAGGUGGAGGAGGCGCCUGGCCCCUUGGGACCUGCUUCUUCUUUCAGUUCGCGUUUUCUCUGUCGUGUACAGCUUUGGAGGGACACCUUUGGGUUCCAGACUUUGAUGAACACAACUUUGUAUACUCUUUUCUUAGGAACAUUUUUUUUCCUUUGGCACAACCGUAGACGCUCUCCGUAGUCCUCCACUCAAAGCCUCCGCUUCCUUUUUGACGUUCUGGGGAUUUCUGGGAACAUACGCCCACCCAUCUUCCUGUUCCUUCAUCACUUUUCCCUUAAAAUCAGAGAGAAUAUUAAUACAUUUGUAAUCAUUGUUCUUAAGGUGUUGCAGACGUCACGUCUUAAGGUGUUCCAGACUUCACGACUCCUUUUUUAUUAGUAAAAUAUUUCUGAAAUUAUGAUAAGGUGAAUAACAUGUAAAUCUCCUUGUUUUGAAUUUUUUUUUUAGGGAUCCUGCAACAAGGUCCUGUUGAAAGUGCCUCUCUCUAAUAUGUUUUAGGGAAAGCUUGUACCCUGUUUUAGGGCCUGUAGACUUUGCCUUUACCUAGGCAACUGUUUAUGGGAUUAAGGUCAGGGAAGAUUCCAACUAAAUUGCAUCCUACUUAGUUAUCACUUCUGUCCCCUGGCCCAGGAGCCUUGGGUUCCACUCUAGAACUUGGACAAAUCCCAAAAGCAUUUUCCAAAAGCACGGUGACAUACUUACCUUUUUCUUUCUUUCUUUUUUUCUCUAAAUCAUUUCUUUCGGGGUUGCAACUCAGUCGCAGGAAUUCAUCUUUUAUUGUAAGCACCACAUAGAUGUAUAGAGCACGUUUCCGUGGAGUAUUUUAAGUUGGGGGCCUUUUCUCCAACAUUUGGAAUCGUUUAAUGGGUGGAAUAACUUGCAAACUACUGGUUGUCUCUGAAACUGGUUAUGGAUAUUCAUUACAUUAGUUGUCUAUUUUCCCAGGUGGUCUCGAAGCUUCAAUCUAGAGCAAAGGGAAUAGAGUGAUUCCACCAGUCCAUUAGCACAUGAUUAGCCCAU
rnacentral:lncRNA from 1 species